UCGAGUGGGUUUAGACCCACGGCGAACGGGUGAGUAAUACCUAGGAAUGUUCCUUAAGUUGAGCAUAAUCUGCCGAAAGGCAGAAUAAUUCUCAAUGUGACCGCAAGGUUAAAGUCGCAAGACGCUUAAGGUGCGGCCUGGGCACCAUCAGCUAGUUGGUAAGGUAAAGGCUUACCAAGGCUAUGACGGUUAGGGGCCCCGAGAGGGGAGACCCCCACACUGGAACUGCGACACGGUCCAG
rnacentral:rRNA from 1 species